CACGCAGUCAGUUCCCAGGACUACAGGAUUCCUUGAGGCUCAGUAUUUUUCAAGCUACCCCAGUCACCGAAGUCCCUCUGGACAUCUUGGGACAAGCAGGCAGCGUGAAAAGGAACGUACUCGGCACCAGCGUGGGCCCACCACAAAGUGACUGGGAGUCUGGGAAAAUCUCUUCGUGUGCGGCCACCUGUGAGAUGGGCUUCAAACACUUGCUGGCUUCACAGGGCUGUCUGAGAAGGCUGCAUUUUGCAGACACAAGCUCCCGCCAGCCAUUCACGGCGAUUGCUGGAAUGUUGAACAUUGUUGAGAUUCACAAAGUGGCUGUUUGGAGCGUUAACUACCUCUGAACCCUUCAGAAGGAAAGUCACCUUCUCACGUGGAUGGAAAUAUUUGCAGGUAAGGGCUUGCCGACUGACUUGGCCUUCCAACGCUAAUCUUUUGC
rnacentral:lncRNA from 1 species